UUUUAACUUUAGUCGAAAAACAAAAAGAACAAAAGAAACACUUAGCCAAAAAAAUCUUUUCAUCUAUCCUUUCACUCUCUCGCUCUGCACAUCGUCUUCGAUUACUUUUCUCCUGUAAACAACACAUCUCCUGGGUUUAGGUUUGUAUCGAUUUAGGGUUAGAUUUGUAUCGAUUUAGGGUUUAGUAUCAUGUUCUCAAUUUGUUGUUGUUGAGGGGAGGAGAUGGAUCUGAUUCGGAAACCUUUGGGGAUUCAACAGAACCGUCGGAUUCAACACCAUUCUCGCCGGAGCCACCAAAAAUUGGGACUACGUUUGGUUAUUGGUUUGUGCUUCGUUUAGGCGAUGAGGCUUUAGAACGGUCUGAGCAGAUGUUCAAGGUACAAGCUGUGGAGCUUAGGUUAUUAUUGGUGGAGCAAGGUUCAGUAUGGUCAUCUAAUUGCUCAAUACCAGUGUUCUUCUCUCUUACGGUGUUUAAGAUGUAAUGGUUUUCAUGUCUUGAACUUGUUUUAAGCAUACGUCAAAAUUGAGUUGAGUUUGGAGCCAUAGAGUUGAGUUUUGUUCUGGAUAAACUUCUUGGUAAGAAACAGCGAAAUCAGGAGAGAAGAAAGAUGAUGCUGUUAAGGUGAAAGCUCCUGCAAUAGAGAAGGCACCAGCAGAAAGACAAACAACAUCUAUUAAGGAAGACAAGUGAAGACACUGUUUCUGAAGACAAAACCAUAUGGGUAUUAGUAGCUUCCACAGUUGAUGCAGAAAGAAGGCUUUGAAGCUUUUUGCCACCAACUUGUGGAAAUGGAACAAGAGGUUGUGAGCAAGUUCAGUGACCAUACUAGUCUUUGAUUUCAAUUCUUUUAGGUGUUGUGUUAAGUAGUUCUUUGGUUUAAGCUUGUAUCAGAUUUUGUAAUACAUUGAUCAUAUAUUUGUUUCUAUUAUAAAUUUGUGUUUAUCAGA